CCUACGGGAGGCAGCAGUGGGGGAUAUUGCACAAUGGGGGGAACCCUGAUGCAGCGACGCCGCGUGGGUGAAGAAGCGCCUCGGCGCGUAAAGCCCUGUCAGCAGGGAAGAAAAUGACGGUACCUGAAGAAGAAGCCCCGGCUAACUACGUGCCAGCAGCCGCGGUAAUACGUAGGGGGCAAGCGGUAUCCGGAUUUACUGGGUGGAAAGGGGGCGCAGACGGCGAUGCAAGCCAGGAGUGAAAGCCCGGGGCCCAACCCCGGGACUGCUCUUGGAACUGGGUGGCUGGAGUGCAGGAGGGGCAGGCGGAAUUCCUGGGGUAGCGGUGAAAUGCGUAGAGAUCAGGAGGAACACCGAUGGCGAAGGCGGCCUGCUGGACUGCAACUGACGUUGAGGUCCGAAAGCGUGGGGAGCAAACAGGAUUAGAUACCCGAGUAGUC
rnacentral:rRNA from 1 species